rnacentral:piRNA from 1 species
UCUGACAGCUUCACCUGAUCUACUCCUGG